rnacentral:rRNA from 1 species
CCCGCUGAACUUAAGCAUAUCAAUAAGCGGAGGAAAAGAAACUAACAAGGAUUCCCCUAGUAACGGCGAGUGAAGCGGGAAGAGCUCAAAUUUUAAAUCUCACAGUCUCAGACUGUGCGAGUUGUAACCUAGAGAAGUGUUUUCCGUGCUGGCCUACGUACAAGACACCUUGGAAUAGGGCGUCAUAGAGGGUGAGAAUCCCGUACUUGACGUAGACAACCAGUGCAUUGCGAUGCACUUUCAAAGAGUCGAGUUGUUUGGGAAUGCAGCUCAAAAUGGGUGGUAAAUUCCAUCUAAAGCUAAAUAUUGGCGAGAGACCGAUAGCGAACAAGUACCGUGAGGGAAAGAUGAAAAGCACUUUGAAAAGAGAGUGAAACAGUACGUGAAAUUGCUAAAAGGGAAACGCUUGAAGUCAGUCGCGCCCGUCGCGCGCCGAGGCAACUCGGUGCCGACUGGGCGGGUCAGCAUCAGUUUUGAUUUUCCCGUUGUAUAAAGGCAGUUGGAAUGUAGCUUCUCGGAGUGUUAUAGCCUUCUGUCGCAUGCAACGGUCAGGACUGAGGAAUGCAGCACGGGGGGGAGAUAUAACCCUCUCCCCCACCCGGUCCCUUUGGACACGUACCAUGUGCUUAGGAUGCUGGCAAAAUGGCUUUAAACGACCCGUCUUGAAACACGG